GGUCACACAGCUAAUUCAAAUACAAACAGUUGAAAGAAUGAUAAUUUUUUUUAAAAAGCCUUCAUUGUGCCAGUUUGAAUCAUUUGAUACUUUUAUUUGGUUGAAACUCUAUCUCUUUGAAAAUGUCCUCAUCUCUGCUUAGAAAAGAAAACACCUACUAACAGCCUAAAGGAAUUACGAAAUGUGAGUUGCACAAUUCAGCUUAGCCUCAGAAUCAUCAAACUCCAGUGGCAAGACAAAAGUCAGGAUGACUCACGAUGGCCCAGAAUGGAGCGGAUGACCCUGGUGUUUUCAAUAUCUGACCAAGCUCAACGUCUCUAUAGUAUCUGCUUCAGCCAAUUUCAUGGCUGUUGAAACAAUUGUUAUUAUCUGCCCAUUCCCCCUGCAGAAAUCUUCACAUGUUUGGGGUAGACACCCCUUAACUCACUAACAGUUUUGAGGACUGUGGUUUGCCCUAAACUUGGUUUAGUCAGCCUUUUGAGAAGAUUUUUAAUCAGGGUAUUGCCUCUGUGCAUUGUAUAGCUUCUUGAAACCACAGGUGAGAGUUGAAUACCAGAUAGAACCUAAAGUUGAGUGCCAGGUGGAUACCAAAGCCCUGAAAAGGGCUCAGAAAACCUCCACACCAGAGAUGUUAGUCCUCUUUGAACAUCUCAAGAACAAAGAGGAUGGAAAUUAGGUGCAUAUCUUACCCUGAGCUCUCCUUGAACUAAGGAUCUUAUGCCUGAGAAGCUACAUCUAAUUCAAAAUCCAUCACGGUGUAACUUGGAUUGUGCUUUUCUUCAUAUGUUUUCUUGUAUUUCUUGAAUUUUACACCACUAUGUUUCCUAAAAUUAAAAAAAAAUGGCUAUUCAACUUUAGUUUUGCACAUGAAUUCCCAAAUAACUUAUCUUCUUAGUUCUAAUCAACAUAAGAAUCCUGGGAGUGGGAACCACAUAAUGGAAUGUCAGAAAAGGAUAUUCUUUAAGUUUGGGCUGAUGCUUUAGCCCUAGAGGAGAAACAGCUUUUUUUCCUCCUUAGAAUGAGAAAACAUUCAAUCAUACAGAUGCCUGGUACUAAUGUCCAAUAGCAGAUUAAAUCCACAAUAACAAUAUUUUGUAUCUUCUAAUGAGCUUAAGCUGCUUUCUAAACAUAGGGAACUCUCUUUGAGAUGAGAGAGAAGUAACUCACUUUGAUGAGCUCAAUAAAUCAAUCAAUCAACACGGAUU
rnacentral:lncRNA from 1 species